CGCCCUUUUACCAUCACCACCCAUACCCUCCUCCACCCUUUCCCAGGUCACUGACACUGCCAGCUCCUCUUUGCCCAGAUGCAAAAUCUGCACCCCUCCACUCAAGGAAAAAGUCUGGAGUCAACUCUGCUCGGUACCUGCUGACAAUGAGGACCUAUCUCAGAUGUCCUGCAAGGCCCACUAAGACCCAUUCGAGGUCAGCAGAUGAUGCAAGAACAGCAAGCUGUGCUUCUGAAACAAGGUAGUGGGCAGCAUCAGCAUUCAUCACAGAACCAGCUCACUGCUUCAUGGUAGCUCUGUAAUGUGAAGGAGGUGACUCGUCUAAAAGUAAGUUCAGGAGCCUUGACUGAAAAAUGGGGAGGAGAAUGUCUGCCUCUGUCAUCUUUG
rnacentral:lncRNA from 1 species